GCCCCCGUAGCUCAGUCGGUAGAGCACGAGUUUCGUAAACUUGAGGUCGCAGGUUCAAUCCCUGCCAGGGGCU
rnacentral:tRNA from 1 species